GAGUUCACUUCAGCAGCACGUACACUAAAAUUGGAACGAUACAGAGAAGAUCAGCAUGGCCCCUGCACAAGGAUGACACACAAACUCGUGAAGCAUUCCGUAUUUUU
rnacentral:snRNA from 1 species